rnacentral:rRNA from 4 species
AAACUUUCAGCAAUGGAUGUCU